ACAGCAGUCGCCGCGGUAAUACAGAGGGUGCGAGCGUUAAUCGGAUUUACUGGGCGUAAAGCGUGCGUAGGCGGCUUCUUAAGUCGGAUGUGAAAUCCCUGAGCUUAACUUAGGAAUUGCAUUCGAUACUGGGAAGCUAGAGUAUGGGAGAGGAUGGUAGAAUUCCAGGUGUAGCGGUGAAAUGCGUAGAGAUCUGGAGGAAUACCGAUGGCGAAGGCAGCCAUCUGGCCUAAUACUGACGCUGAGGUACGAAAGCAUGGGGAGCAAACAGGAUUAGAGACCCGGGUAGUCCCUGUCUCUUAUAC
rnacentral:rRNA from 1 species